rnacentral:rRNA from 2 species
AAACUUUCAACAACGGAUCUCUUGGUUCUGGCAUCGAUGAAGAACGCAGCGAAAUGCGAUAAGUAAUGUGAAUUGCAGAAUUCAGUGAAUCAUCGAAUCUUUGAACGCACAUUGCGCCCCUCGGUAUCCCGGGGGGCAUGCCUGUUCGAGCGUCAUUG